ACUGCCAGAGCAGGGAACAACUGCUUUUUGACAGGAGCUGGGGAACCAUGGAGAGCCCACACAAGAGCAGCACCAGGCUGAAGCUGCAGCCCAGGAGGAGGUACCUGCGGUCAAUCAGGAGAUACGGGGGAGCUGCUGCACACAGCAUCCUGUGCUGGAGUAGUUCUUGAAGGAUUGGUCUUACUGUACAGACCUGUGCUGUUUGGAGAGCUGCAGCCUCUGGGAAGUGCAUGCAGGAUCAGUUUGGGAAGGACAGCAUCCUGUGGGAGGGAACCCAUGAGGUGGAGAGGGACCACAGAGGAGCAGCAGAUACGAAGCAUUACGGACUGCCAGCGACUUCUAUUCUUCAGUGCCACUCUGACAGAAGAGGCAGAAGAUGGAUGAAGAUGAAAGGUUUUUAUCACCAGGCUGUCCUGUUUUGGCUGAAGGUGUUGAAGAGGAUAAAUGAAGAAGCUGUGAAGACUUGACAAACUACUCAGAAAUAAAAUCAUCUUAGCCUGACUUCAGAAGUGAAGCUGUUGGAUCCUGUAAUGAUUUGUCAGUGGAUGGAUGCUGUCCUCCAACGGGAGAAAUGCCAAAUGCCUGAAGUUUAACAGCUGGUCAGAGUUGGGUGUGCGGCCUCUGAACAAGACUCUACCACAACAUUAGAUAGUUUUCAGAAGUUGCUUCUGCAACAGCAGUGGCUGUUUCCAAAGGGAAAGGUAAGGCUGCCAUGGAAGACAGCCCGUGCCCUCCCUGGAAAAUGGGAGAAGCCUGAGAGGUACAUCUCAGACUGUAGAAAUACCGCCCUCUUCUGGUGACAGUAGUAUUUAGUACAGCUUGGUACUCGUUCCUCUUUUUCAGUAAUGCAUAGAAGAUGUUUUGAACUCUUUUGUAUCUAUGACUGCAUUACUCCGAGACUGCA